AGACAGUUCCAUAUACAAUGAUAAUAUGAUCAAUGAUCAAAUGAGAUUUUAAAGGUAGAAUUUCUAGAGCUUGUAAUCCAACUUUCAGUUCAAUAUAUUCUAAGGAUAUCGGUACAUUGUGUUGAACAUCGGAUAUGAAUAAUAUUUGUGAGUUGUUCCAUCCAAUACUAUGUCACGCACUAUAAUGAAAACAGGAAAGAAGGUAAAAAGAAAUAUUAUAUUUCAUUUAAAUAAAGCUUGUACAGUACAUGGUAUAUAUAGUAUAAUAAAUGAGUUAGUAUCACUGUGAUUAUGACACGUCCACUAACUGCAUAACAAAGUGCUCUAUGAUUGCAAUAUGUGUACAUCUACAAAUAAUAAUUUACAAACAGACUUGCAAGUCUCGGCAGGGUUUGUUAUCUGCUAAUAUCACCUCGCAAACGAAGGGUCAUAGGAGCAAGAACCCUUAGGUUACGUUUCAGCCGAGUAAAAUGUUGAACAGCAAGAGGUUUGUGAGAAUGUUUGCAAGUUGAUCAAAUGCUGGAACAUGCUAGACAGCUAGAGUCUUAUUAAGAACUCGUUCCCUGACAAAGUAGAGAUCAAGCUCCAAAUGCUUCAUACAAGAAUAUAUGACUGGAUAGCAUUGAGAGCCAUCGUGCUCAAAUUAUCGCACCAGAUGAUUGGAAUUUUAUUUUGAUAGAUUUGGAGCUCCUUAAGUAAAGAUUGCAACCACAUUAAUUCAGAAGUGGCGUUAGCUAAGCUACGGUAUUCAGCUUCAGUACUUGAGCAAGAAACGGUAGAUUGUUUCUUUGAGCUCUAGGAAACUAGAUUAUCCCCAAGAAAUAAGCAGUAACCAGAAGUGAACGGCGAUCAUCCAAGUCCCAUGCCCAAUCAGAAUCUAAAAAUCCAUGAAGAUAAAGAUUAUUAGACUUGAAAAAGUGGAGACCAUGAUUUGCAGCACCACAAAGAUAUUGAAGAAUGCGUUUGACUGCCUUCCAGUGUGCUUUAAGGCGUAAAUUGGCACACUUUAUUUACACAAUAUGCUAUUUCAGGCCUAGUAAUUGUUACAUGUUGCAAUAACCCAACAGUGCUUCGAUAUAAAGUUGGAUCCACAAAUGGAUCGCCAUUAGAGGAAGUGAGGGACAAAAUUGCCACCAUGGCAGUUAGUUGCGAUUUAGCAUUACUCAUCUUAACUCCAUCGAGGAGAUCUUCGAUAUACUUCUCUUGAGACAACAAUAGACUACCAGUAGUAGUAUGCUUUACCUCUAUCCCUAGAAAAUAAUGAAGAAUGCCCAAGUCUUUCAAGGAAAAUUCAGAGUGCAGACAAGUGAUCUGAGACUCGAUUGCUAGACUACUACUCCCAGUAAUCAAUAUACCGUCUACAUAUACAAGGACAUAGAUACAAAGUGUAGCAUCGCAUUUGAUAAAAAGAAAAGUAUCCGCUCGAGAAGCAAUAAAACCAAGAGAUAAGAGAUAAGUCUUCGAACAAUCAAAUCACGCCCGAGGGGCUUGUUUUAACCCAUAAAAAGCUUUAUUGAGCUUACAGACCAAUCUAUCAUUUGGUGCAGGAGCUUCAAAUCCAGGAGGCUGAGCCAUGUAUAUAUCUUUAUGCAAUAUGCCAUUAAAGAAUGCAUUAUUUACAUCAAGUGGCAUACCUGCCAUCCAAGAGAAAUAGCAAUGGAGAGAACCACAUGUAUGGUUACUUGUUUCGCCACAAGUAUCUGUGUAAUCAAAGCCGAGAACUUGAUGGUAACCUUUUGCAACCAGUCACGCCUUCUAUUAAGAGAUAGAACCAUCAGGAUUUCUCUUCAGUUUAAAAACCCAUUUGCAGCCAAUCAACUUUCUAUCUGAGGGCAAAGAGACUAAGUUCCAAGUGUUAUUGCUAAUUAAUGCAGCAUAUUCCUCAUGCAUUGCCAUAUUUCACUGAGCACAUUUGAGGGCUUCUUUGAAAGAGUUUGGUAUACUAUUUUGUAGGUCGGUAGUGAGGAGAACUUUAGGUUUAAAAUUUCCAGCCUUGGAUCGAGUGACCAUGUGAUGAGUAUUGAUAGGAAGACAUAGAUGAUGAUUCUGACUGGGAAGGUAGAUCAAUAGGUAACGAUUUAGGCUCGGUGGUUGAUAUGGUUGAUUCACUUGGGAAUAAUGAGGGCAUACUGUGUGUUGGAAAGUGAUGUGCUAGAGAGUUUUGCUAUGAGGAAUCACGGUUGGGAUCAGUUUUUAGCAAAGAUGUAGUAGAUGAUUGUCCAAGAUGAGUUGAUUGCAUAGCUGGAUAAAGGACUGAAAGAGGUUGAUCGACACUGGAAAUUGUAGAAGACUUUUGUCAAGCAUAUGGAAAAGUUUUCUCAUCAAACACUACAUGACAAGAUAUGAAAAUCCUUUCAUUAGGUUCUAAGCACUUGUACCCCUUGUGGUUAAGACUGUAAUCAAUGAAUGUACAAGGGGUUGACCGAAAGUUUAACUUGUGUUUGUUAUAGGGCCGAAGGCAAGGAGAGCACAUGCAGCCAAACACACGUAAAAAUGAAUAAUCAUGUUUGGUAUACAGCAGCCUUUCCAAAGGAGACUGACCACUCAAGACUAUAGUAGGUAAUCUGUUGAUAACAUAUAUGGCACUUGAGAAACCAUCAUCCCAAAUUUUGAGAGGUAACGAGGCUUGAGCUAAAAAGGUAAGACCACAAUCAAUAAUGUGUCAAUGCUUACGUUCAAAGACUCCAUUUUGUUAAGACGCAUGAGGACAAGAAUGUCUGUGAGUUAUCCCAGCUAAACUCAAGUACAAUGUAAGGGACCGAAACUCACCCCCAAUCUGUUUGUAGAAUUUUGAUCUUUUUGUCUAGUAAUAAUUCAACUUGAGCCUUGAAUCGAAGAAAAAUGGGAUAUAAUUUAGACUUGCUUUUAAGGAAAAAUAUCUAAGUAAAUUUAGAGUUAGCAUCCACAAAACUCACAUAAUAGCGAUAACCAUUAAUGGAGGGUGUGAAUGCUGGACCCCAUAGAUAAGAAUAUAUCAAAUGUAAUGGCUCAUGAUAAACCACCUCAAAAUGAGAGAAUGGUAACUUUUUGUUUUUCCCUAAUUGACAAGCAGAACAAAAUGAUAAAUCUUCAUUCAUUAGAACAGGGAUUUUACAAGAGGAUAGAACCAUUUUGACACUUGGAGCAGCGGGUUGACCGAGGUUCAUAUUCCAGAGGUCUAUAAUUUGAUUGACUCUAACAUUAGACUUUACUGGACUUGAAAUACCGGACUCGAACUAGCACCUAUUGACUGUAAAGAAAAGGCAGUAGGACAACUCGACUGACUUUGAAUAGAAGAACUUACGGACGACAAUUGAGAUGAUGCAAAAGAUGUAAGUAUUAUGCCCUAGGUCCAAU
rnacentral:lncRNA from 1 species